rnacentral:rRNA from 1 species
UACGUAGGGUCCGAGCGUUGUCCGGAAUUAUUGGGCGUAAAGAGCUCGUAGGCGGUUUGUCGCGUCUGCUGUGAAAUCCCGAGGCUCAACCUCGGGCCUGCAGUGGGUACGGGCAGACUGGAGUGCGGUAGGGGAGAAUGGAAUUCCUGGUGUAGCGGUGGAAUGCGCAGAUAUCAGGAGGAACACCGAUGGCGAAGGCAGUUCUCUGGGCCGUAACUGACGCUGAGGAGCGAAAGCUGGGGGAGCAAACAGG